CUUAAAGUAUGUGUAGUAUCAAUAUAAAUAUUUUAUAUAAAAUGAGAUAUGUUAACUAGAAAUAUAUAGUUAAUUAUACAUAUGUUUAGUUAUCUUCGGAUAUCCAUUCGGGUUUGGAUAUUACUCGUUCGGUUUUGGAUAUCCAAUCUCUCCUAAUUCAAUACCCGUUCGGAUAUUUUGCUACUUCGGUUCGGAUUUCGGUUCGGGUUUUUUGGAUCGGGCUCGGGUACGGCUUCAGAUAUCGGGUAAGGUGUCCACCCCUAACUGAUUCUAAGACGAUGUAAACAGAUUCAUAUAGAAUCUGCAAACAAAAAUGGUAGCUUUACAUCCAUACGUACAAUGAACGACAAUUGCCUAAGAAGAUUUAUUAUUAAAAAAUUCUUAAUUUUUUAUAAAAUUUGAGGUUCCAUGUUUUUUGUUCACAGAUUCUUAAAAUAAAAUUAAAAUCAAUUAUUAUUGGUUUGAUAAUUUUUCAAAUUUAUUAUUAUUGGUUUGAGAUCCAAAUUUCUUGUAAUUAAAAUUUUAUUAAUGAUGUUGAUUUCCUAAUUCUAAAUGAUUUUUUUUUUGUUAUUGAGAUAUGAAGACUACAUUUUCAAACUUUGUAUAUUUAUGAAAUUUUAAAAUCUUUGUAAUAAAAACGUUUUAAGUAACAAAAUAACUACUGUCAACAAAAAGUUACUGCCACUUCAAUUCAAAUUUUAUGUCCAAAAUAUUUAAAUUAUGUAACAGAUUUUUCAAUGUAUAAUUAUAUUUUUUCACUAUUCAUAUUUUAAUGACUAAAUAAAAAUUUAAAAUAACAUUUAUAUUCUUAUACAAACAGAAAUAACAUUUAAUAUUAGAAAAAAUUAUUUUUGGAAACGUUCUUAAAACUAUAUAUAUUUAUUUUAUAAAAAACAACUAGGAUAAAAUAUGCUCCUUAAACGCGAUGAGAUUUGCGUAUACAAAUUAUUUUUAUAUAUUAUUACUUGUUUUGCGAUUGUAUAUAUUAUAAAACUAUAUAUAUAUAUAUAUAUAUAUAUAUAUAUAUUUCAUAUGGCUAUUCAUUAAAUGAGGCUUUUUAAUCAUAUAGGUUUAUAAUUAUUUGUACCUUUUUAUAACAAAUUUUUUAAACAAUUGAUAACAAAAUUUAAUGGUGUUCUAUUCUCCCAUAUCGAUAUCGAUCAGACAUACAGGUAGUCUUUGAAGAAUCGUCUUGUCUGAUCAGAACUUUGUGUAAUAAUAUGGCGAGGUGACAAAAAAUACAAAAUUGUUUAUGAGACUUUUAAUAGUUUCAGUAAUAUAUAAUUGUUUCUAAAAGUGAAAAUUUUUAAAUUAAAAUAUUUAUAUAUGGUAUAUACUUUAACUUAAUGAUAUUAAUAUAUAUAAAUAUAUAUACUAUGAAUAUAGAUUAAUUUAUAUUGUUUACGAUCAUUUAUAUUUUUUAUAGAAAAAUAUUUAAACCAUUGAUCAUACAAAUUUAAUGUGAGACUUUCAACAGUGUUAGUAAUUUAUAUUCAUUUUAAAAAAUUAAAAUAUAACAUAUAAGAAAAAUUAAACUUUAUUAUAUGAUUAUUUAAUUUUUUUUAAUAAUAUUAAAUUUAAAAAAUGAUAGAAGAUACACAAUUCAUUAUCAAAUUUUAUUGUUCAAAAUCAUUGAUUAUCAUUUAGGUAACUCUUUAGCGUUUACUUAAGAAAAUAAAAAAAUAUUUUUUGUACAUUAAUAUUUAAUUUUAUAGUUAGUUUAACAAACAAAUAUGUUAUAUGUUUAGAUGAAUUAAUCUUUUGUUAAAAAAUUCUAAGAAUUAUUAUAGUGAUAAUACAUGAUGUAUCUCAAAUAUUGUAAUGUUUCUGAAAUAAUACAUAAGAAAUGAUAGAAAUAAAUUAAUAUAAAUUUAUGAAAAUCUAUAGCAUUUUUUUAUAUAUCCUAUCGAUAAUCGAGGCAGCCUCUUGGUAAACGCAUUUAGUGCUAAAUAGUGAAUUGAUUACAGAGUGACUGAUCGAUUGUGGAAUGCUUUCCGACUAAUUUAAAUCUAUACCAUUCUAUAAAUAUAUAACAACUUUUUUAUAAAUCAAAAUACAUAUUUACAGAAUGUGCGUAACUUUUAAAAAUUUAUAAAUCAAUCUUCCAAUAACAAAAUUUAUUUAUAAAUUUAUUUUUGAGGCCCCGCAUGUUUAUAUUUGUCUUUCCUCCACUGUCUUCAUCAGCCCUUUGUCUCUGUGUUUUCACAUCCAGAAUUCUUAGAUUUCAUUAUCUGAAUAGAAGGUGGGGCUCUUCUGACGUGCCGCAUAGCUAGUCGUAAGUGUUGUUGGCCUCGCUUCUUUGGUCCACAUGUCUCUUGUGGGUUGACUCACUCAAAAUUAAUUUCAACAAGAAAAUCAGAUAGGCCAUCUACAUCUAUACUGUCCAUUUGAUUUGAUGAUUUUAAUGUUAUGAACAAGGUCAUUUAAAUCAUUUUGUUUUUAGAAAAUGAGAUUCAAUGCUAUGCAUCUGACAAUGGAAACAUAGCACUAUAACAGUAAGUCAGUUAUGUGUUUAUUACCUAGUCUCUUUUAUAUCGUACUAGAUUCGGUAUCCGCGCUUCGCGCGGAUUAUAUGUUUAACAAAAGUCCAGUUCAAUUAAAAUUGGGAGUUUUGAAGUUUCUGAAAGGGUAAGUUAUAUUUUGUUUAUUUUAUAAUGCGAAGACGUUGGAAGCGGUGAUCAUUUUUUUUUAAAAAAACAACAGUAAGUUUGAAUAAUAAAUUGUUUUAAGGAAUUCAAUAUUCGUAAGAGAAAAUAGUAUUUGAGUGUGCCUAUUUAAUUGACGUAGGAAGCGGUAACGUAAAUUUUUUAAAAGUUGGCUGGUGUCGUUUGCUAUGAGGCUUAGGAUAGCAGUUUAUUCCUCUUUUGGAAGCGUUGUAUGAUACUAAUAUCGUUGUCAAAGUAGAAGCACGAUCCAUGUGUGGUUGUGAGUGAUAGUUGUCCUGAAAAAGUCAAAUAUUUGUAAGCAUUUAUUUUGACAUAAACUUUAUGUUUAGUUUAUUACCUUCAUGUAACCGUGGAAUGAUACUUGUGAUGAUUACAAUUUGUUUUUUCCUGGUAUAUAUGUGAUUUAACUCCCUGAAAUUAGACGCCUCCUUGUCCCAUAAAGUUAGACGUACCAAUUUCAAUCUACAAAUAAUUAUUGUAUUAUAUUUUGUUUAGUUGUAAACCAAUUGUUAUUUAAUAAAAAGUUAGUACCUGUCUAAACGCAAUCCAAUGAUGAUUUUUGAAUCUGUGUAGUGGUUAUAUAAAUCACUUUCUUGGAUGAAGCAUAUGCGGCCAACAACAUCUGUAGGAAUAAUUUGGUUUCAGGGACAAAAAUGUAGUAUUUAUUUGUAUGUGAGAGAGUUAUUGGUUUUUUUUUACUUGGGAGGAAGUUGGUUGCAUUUGCUAAGCUGAUCAACUGGUGGUAGUGUUGGGGCCGGAAUAUGUAUGAAGGGAUCGGUGGAAUGUUUUCUUGAAUCAGUGUAGUAAUUUUUGUCUCAUUGAUAUUGAUUAUGUAUGGUUGAACGGUAAGCAUGUACUGUUGGUUAUUGAGAAGAAGAUUAAAAUAUCUAAUGUGAUAAAUUUUCCCUUCCUCGAAGCGUUGGUAGAUUGUGUCAGACGUAGAAAUAGACACCCUCCCUUCCAUUAUUUGUUCAUGUUUAGUGGUUAAAAGCCAUCAUUUGAAAUGUAGUUGGAAUAAUUAAAAGUAAGUAUUUUUAAGACAAACCUGGAUGUCAAGACAAAUAAAAGUUGUUCCUAGGAAAGCAUUUUUAUUUUUGUGAUUUUUGAUGAGCCACAUCCUAAUGAUCCUAACGAUUAUUGGAUGCGGUCCGAGGGUGUCGCCCCAAUUGUUUUGAUCUUCUGCUGCAUGUUAUGCACAGAUAAGAAUGAGAAUUAUUUUGUAUUGCCCAUUUUUUAUUAAUUUCAUAUUUCUUUUGAAGUGAACAUAGUUAUGGUUUGUUUGUUUUUUUUUAAAUUAUUGACAUGGUUAUUUAAAAAUUAAAGUAGGCCGGCCCAUAAUUAUUUGAAUGAGGUCAAAGCAUGAGUAAUUGGAACUGGUAGUUGUAAAUUUGUUGGGUGGGUUUGAUAGUAGAAUUUAGGUUUUUUUUAGAAAUUUAUAGUGACUGUGUGUAAAAUGAGGGGGUUGUGUUAUCUUGGGCGGACAAUUUUAAGAUGAAAGGAAACUUAGCCGGUUCACACAUUGUUAAAGAAAACAGCAGAAAUAAUAAAUUGUCUAAAAAAAAUAGAAAAUUCAAAAGAAAAUAGUUUGACAGUUGAUAUAAGUAAUUGUCCGAAGGAAAUAGUUUUACCAAGACGGCGAUUUGGGUUAAUGGGCUGGGCUGCGAGAUUUUUCUUUACUUGGCCCACCGGCAAAUCGUAGACAAACCGAGAUUUUUGUAAGCGACAACGAAGCCCAAAUCUUUUAUUGCAAUUUUAAUUUGAAGUUCAAUCCGCUAGUGACAUGGCAGUUUGAUAAGUGGAGAUUAUUUUGCCCAUGUGGCACCUUUAGAAAAGCUAGGAUUUAGCUCCUUUUAUAUAGUAGGAUUACGAACUGUUAUUAAAAUGCAUAAUGAAUAAAAUAUAUUCAUAAAGAUAUGAUUGGGGGUACAAGUAACUCGAAACCAGAAUAAAAAGAAGAAAUAUAUGUAGACAUAUAUAGAAAUCAGAGGGAUAUGAAAAUAUUAGUAUGAUAAAGAUAAAUAGAUAAAAAAAACUCUACGUGCGAAAAAUAAAAAAAUUGCAAUAUUACAAUGAUGAGAGCUUAUCAUAAAGUGAGAGUUAUGAAGGUAUAUUAGUGCUACUAAUCCUAUGAAUCUCACAAUGAAUUAAAAAUAUAAUUGAAGAUGAACUACAAAGAAUCUUUAAGUCAUGUAAAUCUGAUAUUCAAUACAAAAUUUACCUGUAUUAAUCGAGAAAAUUCUCAGUAAAGUUGUGAACAUGAUGCGCAUUGUCAAACCUUGGCACAUUUGUUUUUUUUUAAUGUCUUCUGCAGUUACAAAUUUAUUUAAAGUGAUCAAUGAAUGUUUUCAAUCCAAUCUGAAAAUUAAAACACAUUUUUCGAACAUUGAUGAUCACAUGAAUUUGGAGGAAAAACAAGUAUACUCUCUUGACCGUGUAUGCACCAAAAAUUGUCUAGGUCCAUAACUCCAUAUGGAUUUAUCAAGGACGUUUCUUAAAUAUAUGUGCUCAUUAUACAGGCUGCUUCAUUCGGAGGAAACAUGAAUGAUGCUCUCGAUACGCUUGCAUAUAAAUAAAAUCUGAUACCUUAAUUAAGCUCGAUAUCAAACACACAACAAAGUUCUCGACCAUCAAUAUACGACGCUAAGCGUAAGAUCGAUGGACGACAAUAUUCUUGCCAAUAAUGUGAGUUCAUAAGUUACAAAAAUAAAAAAAAAUAAAAAAAAUAAUGGGAGUUCAUUAUAUAUCUUUUCUUUAAUAAACGGAUGAAAAGAUAUAGAGAACGAUUAUUCUAGUCAUGAUAUCAAUAAUGUGAGUUCAUUACGAUACGCCAAGCUUGUUAGGUAAAGAAACGCUUGAUAAAUUACUUAAUUAUAUCUCACAUAUCCAACUCUAUUUGCUUUUGAUUUACAUAUCUUUUCUUUAAUAACCGGGAGGUGAUCCGGGCAAAUCCCCACAGGCCGGACACAGUGGUUGGUGAUACUGAUUCAUGACGUAAAUACGCUCUCCCAAGAGGAAUCGAACUAGAAGCACAGUAACACCAGCUCUAAGCGCUAAACCUCUAUCCUAACGCACUGUGGUGCUUUCUGCUUAAUUUCUACUUUUGAUUUACAUAUCUUAUUCCAUGGUUGCUCAAAAAAAAAAAUCUUCUUCCGUGAAAUCAUAUGUAUCUUCUUCUUUCUUGCAUACACAUUCCAUAAAAAGGAAAAUAUCCCUUGCAAUUUAUACUGUGAUAUUUUGUUAACUGAAAAACGAUAAUGUAUAAAGUGCUAGAACCACAGCGCUGUAGAACUUUCUUUCCCUUGAGGGAAAGCGUUUACUUAGCAGAAGAAUGUUAACUAACGAAAUUUGAGUUAGCUUUGAUAACAUUUGUGGAAAGUUAUAUACAUAUAUAUAAAUAAUCUUGUUCUCGCAUAAAUUAUUCGAGUGCGAAUUUAGUGUUGAAAUAUAAUCAUGCGGUAACACAGUUUGGUUAUUUAUGAAUUAAUCAUCUCUAACGUUGUAAUACAUUUGGGAAAACAUACUAAACUAAUUUCUUGAUUGUUUAUAGACUUUAUAUCAGAUUUUGGUGUCAAGGGAUAUAUUCAAUUAAAAGUUUCAGGUAAUUUAUAUUGAAUGACAUAUAUUCAAACAUGAAAAAGUCAAUAUUACUGACCUUGUUAUUUAAUAAACUAUUUUACAAUUCAUUGUUUUUUGAAAAAAAUUAAGUUGUGAAUUUUAAGAUUCUUCUAGUCCUUUUAGAAUGUUUGGUAUAAUUUCCUAGUUGAAAAAAUAAAUAUUCAAUCUCAUAGUUUCUAAAAAGAUUUAACUAAUGCAAAGAUUUUGAAUAGUUUUUAGAUUUGUGUCUUUUACAUUUUAUUGUUAGUUGAAAUUAACAUAUAAAAGGAUUUAUAAUAAUAAUAAAUGAUAAAAUAUUUAUUCUGAAAUUGUAAAUAUAAAAUACUACCACCACAUAUAAAUGCAAAGAGAUUAUAUAAAAAUGCUAUUAAAAGUUUUUAUUUUAUAAAAAUAUUUCAAAUUUAAUAUUUAAAACACCAAUAUAUGCUAUUGUAUAAGAAAUUAAAUACUAUAAAUAAAUUAAAUCAAACCACAUUUUUGAUGAAUUAUUUUUGAAAAACAAUUUUCUAACAAAAUGUUUCUAUUUUUAUUUAUUUUAUGUAUAAAUAUUUUUUAAAAAUUUAAUUACAGUGAUAUUAUAAAAUAAAUUUUUAUUUUUAAAUAUUAUUUUUUAUAAUUUAUAAUUUAUAACUUUGUUCUUAUAUAAAAUGAUAUUUUUCAAAUAAAAAACUCGUUGAUAGAAUUGUAUAGAACUGAAAUAAAUUAACAAUGGAAAAUAAAGGUAAUUUUGCUGAAAAAACUAACAAAAAUGAUUUUUAGUUAUUCUUUAGAAAUUAGCAUUUUUGAAAAACUACUUUAACUAGAUUAUAAAUAGUCUAAUUAUUCAAAACUUGACUGGCUAAAAUAAUCUAAAAAACAAACCUGUUACAAAAUCUGCAAAACAAAUCUAACCUUAAUUCAUAAUAAAUUUUCAACUUACUUAAAUCAUAUAAAAACUUGUAAAAAAAUCACUUGAAAUGCUAGAUUGAAUACACACUCCUUAAAAAAAUAAAAUAAAAUAAUGUCAUUCAUGUUUCAGAUUUUAAGUUAGUUUUUAUUUAAAUCACUUUGUAUCCCCAUCCAAAGGUUUUACAAAUAGAUUCUCUAAGAUUUAGGAAACGUGGGUUUUCCAAUUUUGAUCAAUUUAUGAACAAAAACCAGCUUUUGUAAUUUUUUAGUUAACAAUAGUUUUUAGUAGAAAUUUCUACAUACUCAUUAAAAUAAAAUUAUUUUCAUAUAAUAACAAAACUCUCAUAAACAUUUUCUACAAAGGAUAUCAUUUCAUUAAUAAUGUGAAAUAAUUGAAAAUUGUUUUAAUUGUAUAUAAUAAUUAGGUAUUUUAUCAAAUAUUUAUUUAUAAAUAAAUUAUAAUAUUAAUAUUUUUUGGAAACAUAUAAAAUUAAAAAAAUAAUUCAUAUUAUUAUAAUCUAUUAUAUUAAUUUGAGAAUAAACAAAUUACUCUUCAAGUCUCAAAAUUUAAAUAUAAACAACUAAGCAUUUAAAAAAAUAAAAAAAAACAGAAACUAAACCCCUGAAAUCCAAAAGUAAAAACCAAAAAAGAAAACUAACAACCAAAAAGUAAAACCAAAACCAAAAUUUGUGUAAACAAUGAAGGCCAAUUUUUUUAUGACUGGCUUUACAAAUGAAUUCUUAGUAUAUAUUUAUACGUUGGACAAAAGAGGAAAAGAUAAGUAUAUUUACUGGUUGGGAGUUUGUGGUUAAAUGGUAAGGAGAAUGGUUUGAGAUGUCAUCACAUUUGAGGUUUUCCACAUGUCAUGUAAAACUAAAUCACAUUUAUCUGAUUAUCUUACAUGGAUAUGGGUUUAGGAUGUCAUCACAUUUCAGGUUUUCCAGAUGUCAUGCGAAACUAAGUCACAUUUUUCUGGUUACCCUACACGGAUAUGAGCUACUGCUUUCGGGUCUAUUUGAAUAUCCGGAAGAUGGUCUAUCCGUGAACUGCAUCUCCUACCCGGGAAUCUCAUACCCGAGAAUUAGGUCUAUAUCUUUAAUAGAUUCGAAUUUAACUUUUUUUUGUUCAAAAAAAAAGUUACUGGUAAUACUGUCUUUGUUAGUAUAAAAAAAACAAGUAAUCAAUCCUUUGAUAAAUGAUGCUAAACGAAAAACUAACGAAGCCUUGAUAUGUGUCUAUUUUUCUAAGCACGGUAAGUUGGACAAAACAGAAGAACUUUGUUUUAUUGUGAACUUUAUUUAAAUAAAACUUAAUGACAUGCAUUUGUCCAAAUUUCAUGUAUCAGUAUAGGUAUCAAUCAAAUGAAGACUGAUAGAGCGCUUCGUAAAAGUUUAUAUUUUUUGGUUGUUUUAUUCUUCUCUAAUUACUCAAAUUAUCUUUUGUUUAAUCUAAUGUAGAAAAUGUAAAUUAUAGAUAUAUAGAGUAUCAAAAGAAAACAAUAUCGCGGAACGUAUAAAAAACAGUCAUAGAGAUAGGAGAUUCGAUUGUUAAUAAAUUUCGAUGGCUGUCAAAUGGUCCCGUUAAUUAGCAUUAACUACAUUGUCAGCUCAAGCCAAUCUCAGUUAUUUUUUCACAACACGUUCGAUGUAAGUACGGCUACACAACUGUUUUUUUUUUCUUUUAAACAAUAACUAAAAACUAAGAAUUUAACCUACUAAUUCGGACAACCAAAUCGGAGGUACAUAAUCAACAUAUAACAUUGCAGAAAGAGAACUCUUAUACCGCAUGUAAAUUUGUCUGCCAUUAUACUUUGUGUUUUUGAUUUAUGCAUGAUCUUGAAUUUCAAGUAGAAAAUCUUAAUGCGUCAAAAUUCUUCUAUAUGGGUAAAGAAAGUUGGUCAUUCUUCAGGUGUUGAUACCAUUUUCAUCAAUUGAGAAUGGUUUGUCACAAAAACUAUUUCAGAGAACUGAAGUUUUUUUUUUAAUUUAACAACUGUUGCAUAUACAUUACCUCAUUACAAGAUUAAGACAAGUAUUUUUGAUACGUAUUUUUAGUAUGUUCAGUUAUUGCAGGGAUAUGAAUUCUUAUAUAUUUUUGGUUUACUAAAUAUAAGAUUAUAAUUUUUAAAUACAUUUGGUUUGCUAACUUUUUAGUUUCAGUAUCUUAGAGUUUAAAAUAUAAUUUUUAUGUAGAAAAUUUUAAGAUUUACUUUUUACAAAAGUAUAAUAUGUAUGUUGUAUUCUCUUAAUCAACCAUUUAAAAUGCUUUUGUAUCGAAAUGAGAUUUCUAACCACGAUAAGCUUUUGCAUUAUGCAUAUGCAUAAUUUAAUACGUAUCACGUAUUUUUUUUGUGGCACGUAUAUUCACGUAUAUUCAUGCAUGAAGACAGGCAUCAUAAUAAAGUUCAGAAGAUAGUGUCCUAAUAUGCAUGUCAUUGUCUCAUUUAUUUGACUCGUAUACGUACAACUUACUUAAAGCGGAUCAAAAAGCAUAUAUUAUACACAUGCUAUAUAUUUAUUUUUAUUUAUAUACACUUUUUAGUUAUUUAUAAUCACAUGUUUGAGUUAAGAUGGUUUUGUUGUGAUUUUUUUUGUAUAGAUGGUUGGAUUUUGUGAGUCUCGCGUCACUGGCCUUUGAGAUUACUUUUCUUAUUAGAAUUAAAUUCAAAUCCAUGAUAUAUAUUUUAACUAUUAUUUUUUGCUAAUAUUUUAAUAUUUUAACUAUUCUUUCUUUAAUGCAUUUUCACAUUUAGAGAUAUUUAUUGGUUGUUGAUCGGAAUGUACUCCUUUAACUUCUAAUAAUCAGAUGAUUAUGUGUAGUUUAAUAUGAGGGAUUAUAUCUUCCAAAAAUCACCGUCAGCUUGGUUAACAAAAGUCAAAAACACACAGAAAUCACAAUCAGUUUACAUGAAUAUAUAAUUAUUUUCUUUCGCAUCAUAAGCCACGUGCUUGGUGAUAAAAGAAUUGUGAAUUAUGAUUUCUUUUUAUUUGUUUGCCAAAGAUUAUGAUUUCUUAUUAAUUUGAAAGACUACUCAUUAACAUAUGGUGUAGUUAAUGCGAAAGCACAUUCUCUUACUUUCUCGACAUUAAUAUUAAUCAUACUAGUGUUUCAUAACACUAUUUUACUCCACCACUCUUUUCCACGAUCUAUGAAUGAUCAGCUUGGCGCCACGCAUGCACAAACAAAACUAAAUUAAAUUGAAAUACAAAAUCUCUUAGUAAUGAAUUUUCAUAAAUACUAACGGAUUUACUGAAAAACAGCUAGUAAUAAUUUUCCAUCUAGUGUAGAUGGUGAAAUCGAUGUAAUACUGACAGUGUCUGGACUGAAAUUCUGAAUAUUUUAUCUCUCUGCUUACUGCGUAUAAAAAUUAUGAUAAAUAAGACAAUAAAGUUAUACAGUCUAAAAGAAACAGUUUCGUGUGUAACAAUAAUACUUGCACUUCUCCUAGAACAAAGUUUGAUUAUUUCUGAGAUGUGAAUAUUCGUGCUGAUGAGAAUAUGCCCACUGCAUAUCGAUUCAGGUUCUGGUAAAUAUAACGAACUAGUAGAUGCUGUUAUGCACGUAUACAGUGCUGUAAUUUAUCUGGCUGAUUUAAAAUCUACUAAAAAUACUCGAUGGGCCUUUAGCGCAUAUACGUGUAGUUUUAUUUACCAGUCACUAGUCCAUCGGCAUUUAGUAUGUGGCUCGACUCUUUUAAGUGCAUUUUAAUUUUGUUACAUUAAAGCAUCAUGAAUUCGGCGAUGGAAGGAAUCCUUCCUUAUUUUCUCGAUCAAACAUAUACCAAAAGCACAAAAUAAAAUAACGAACAAGUUUACAAGCAGUGCUAAAAGUUAUCAUUCUAUUAUGCUAUAUGUUGAUUCAGUAUCUUCGAAUCGGUAUAUACGUCAAUUUAGUUAUAGUUAUUAUUGUAAAAAAAAUUGAAGUGGUGGAAUAUCAUCCACGUCAACAAUCAUUAAUGGAAAUUAAUACAAAUUUUAAUAAUUGACCAUAUUUCACAAAGUUAUGUAGCAAAUUUGAAUAUUUAAAUAGUGAACAUUUUCUAUGGCAUUCUUCAAUAAGUUAUCUAUAAACAGUCGAUAAAUAAUGGAUUUUAACAAAAAAUAACUAAGUUUAUUUUAGUUAAAACUCCCUAAACUAAACUAAGUAUUCAACGUAAAACUUUCCAAACUCACUUUAUUUAACGAAUUAGCCAUUCGAUCUACAGUGUCGCCGGUUAAACAAAUAGGUCAUACCAAUAAAACAUUAGUUUAGGGGUUUUACCCUAAGUAAACUUAAUAUAGAUUUUUUUUGUAUUAAAAAAAUAAAUAAAAAGUUAAAAUAAAAAAGUAAUAUAAGAUUCAAAUUUACAAAAUUAACACUUCAAACAAUUUAUGUAAAUAGCUGAGUUAGAUUUGCUUUAAAAUUAACACUAGAUUCAAUAUAAUUUGAUAUUCUUUAUCAAAUUACAUGCUUUUUAACACAAAUGGAACCCAAUAUCUUAUGUAUAAGUAUAUGAAGGAGGCUUAAACUUAUGCUCUCAAAAGUCCAAGACAAAUGAAUUUAAAUGAAAUGUCUUAGUGAGAGACAGACAAUAAAUGAAAUUGCAAAGUACCGUAGGUGCAUAAGCCACUCAAUAUACCACCAUGAAGACCAUAAGAAAAAGAUAGUGAUUAACCUAUAGGUCGAUGCGUAUGGGCAUGAGUCUCAUACUUGAAUCCUUUAUAAGGAGAAGCUUUUAUUGGGGGUGAGCGAGCACUCAUCGUGCAACUAGGUGUCGUUCUUGUAUAUUAAGGUUAAUCUCUAUUUAUUAUAUGCGCUAAGUCUGAAUUCAUUGGCUUACAAGUUUUUUAUCCCAUACCGACUCCCCUAUUACUCACCUUUGUCUUCCCUUUUCAUGUGAGACUGAGAGAGAUGUCACAAUUUAUUAGGAAUUCAUUCGUUUGGGAUUUUAGGAGUAUAUAUUAAUCUUCACUCGAAUAUUUAUACAUACGACAUUGAGUUCGUUGAAAUCCAUAAAACAUAUAAUUUAUGUAUAAGUGUGGAUUAAAAAAAAUCUAAUUUAUUUAUUAAUUAUGAAGUUCUAAUUUUGUAAAUUUGAAUUAUUAAAAAUUUACAUAAUUUUUUAAUCUUAUUUGAGGUUUUAAUGUAAAAAUCUCCUCAACUAAGUUAAGUUAGGGUAAAAACUACCAAUCUAAAAAUUUACCCGUAUCACCUAAUUAUUUUUCUGGUACUGUAGAUUGAGGUUCAAAUUCAAUAAAUAAAGUAAAUUCAAGGAUUUUUAUGUUAAAUACUUAGUUUAGGGAUUUUAUCAAAAAUAAACUUAGUUAAAAGGGGUUUAUUGUUAAAAUCCAUAAAUAACCUAUUAAGAAAUAAGAUUUUUCCUCAUUUUUGAUAAUUUAUUUGAUAAUUUGCUUUAAUGGACGCACCAACACAUGUUCAACAAAAAAUUUAUCGAUGGGGGAAAAACUUUAAAUAAAAUCUUUGGCUCAAGCAGUUGCGACAUAUAUGAUAUCCCUAUGUUUCUUGCUCCCACAAAGAAUUAUUGAAAAAAAAAAUGUACGAUUUAAAAUUUCUGGUAGAGUUCAAAAUAGUGUUACACUGGUUUUCAUAAGAUAAAAUUUGCAUACCCAAAGAUAUGACAGGGUUAAUCUUUCUAGAUCUACAUGAUUUCUAUGUGACUCUUCAGAAGUAAUUCAAUUUCCCUCAUUAUUAUUAGUAUGUGAACCCAUAAGAGAAGAUACUAUAAUUGUUUCUCUCUUAUAGAAGAUGGGAAAAUGUAGUCACCAUAUUUUGGUUGGCGUAGCAUCAUGGUUGUUGUGGAAGCCUCAUUGGUCCAGUGGUUUGACUAAGGAUUCAUUAAUGUUUAUACACCAGGAAGUUUGAGUUCUUAUCCCUAAAAAGGCGGAAUUAUGCAAAUUAAUGGUGAAAAGGCUUACAAAAGAUCUGCAGUAUGGCGCAAUGAUCCACACCUAACUGCAUCACCUGCAUGUGAUGCAGUCAGGUGUGGAUUCUUAUAAGGCAUGUAGAAUUGUCGGCUAGAGCUUGGAGUGAGCCAUGGUUUCUAGAUACAACAACUCUCCCCCCCCCCUCCCAACCCCCAAGAGCCUUAAAAUGCAUAGUUUACAAAGAACUCCAACUCCUUAUCCAUUCCUUUAUUAGGAAUGCUACCAAGGAGUGUGAUCUUCCCUUUUUACACGAGUAUUUCCACCCUGAUCAUAUACCAUAGAACCUUCGGUUGAGACCUAGUCGCUCUAUAUCCUUGGAUGGAUAUGCUUGGAAUCACAUGAAGUCAAAGAUUUACUCAGUUAAAUAUGGAUAUGAGCUACCUAGAACAUCUAACAUUCGACACAACCGAGAAUAUGUUCUCGAUCCGAGUAGUAGAGGCUUACAAAGUCAUGUGUGAAAAUACGAGCUCAAGGAAAAAUGAACAUUUAAUGUGGCAGGCUCUCUCUGAUUGUAUGGCGACAUCAUAAAACUUUUCAGUACCGAUAGAAGUUGUCCUAGAUGUGGUGGCCCAGUAGAGUCAAUUAAUUAUUUUAUUUUUAAAUUUCCUAUAUGUUUGCAAGUUGGAGCUUUAUCGGGUUACCCGUCAUUUUGGGGUUGCUUCCCGAGUACAUUUAUGUAACAUAACAUGGAUCUUCUCUUUUGGAAAAGAAAAGAGGUUAUUCCACUGGAACCACAUUUGACAUUUGUUAUGGAUCAUUUAGUACAUUUGAAAGGUAAUGAACAACAAAAAAAUUGAUAGAAAAGAAACCUCUCCCGUCAAUACUCUAUGACUUACUUCUCCUGAAGUAUAAUGCUAGAGGAAAUCAAAAUCUAAAAAGGACGAGGAGGAGGAUCCCAAUAACCCCUAAACAGACUUGUUGAGGUAUCCCCCUUGGAUACUCCUAAUCAUGACUUGUCAAAUAGCUGCCUUAGAUCAAUAAUGACCUAAUUAGUGUGGUUUAGGGUGGAGUCUUAAUGAUAAAAUAGAUGCUAAAUCAUUUGGAAUUCAUAGUUGCAUGCAGUAGAAGCAUCUUGGAUUUAUUUGCUGAGACGGAAGGAUUUCUUUGGGCAACAUCGUGUGCGAGAGAUAUCCAUAUAUCAUUGAUCUGAGUCAGGACUUGCUGCUCAUAUUUAGUGGAUAUGAAUACAUAUCCGGUCGACUAGCCGACCUUCACGUCAGAGAUAUAUGUAUUUUGUAAUAUGUAGGAUAAUUUUGAGAAUUUGAGCUUAAUCUAUAUCCAUAAGAGCCAAAAUGUAACAAAGGAUGUUAGAACAAAAGCGUUACAUUUUUCUAUAAAUCAAACAUGGCCGGAUAUAGUUUUUUCUUCAAGAUAAUCUUUGUACGCACCAACUCCUAGAUAUACAUAUUCUCUCUCUUUGGCUAAUGUAACAAAAUCAUGUAUCUAUCUCUUGGCUGAGCGGUGGCCUUCUCUUUGUCGGUCUCCCCUCCCUUUCCGGUGUUCUUCUUCCCAAUACAUAUGUCCUAUAGCUUUUGCCUCUUUCGUUCUUUUUCUUACACCCCCACAUAUUAUUCCCUCUGCUGAUUGGCUUCGACAUCACUGCUCGGACUGUCAAAUCCUUUGGAGUGGUGGUCUAUGCAUAUCCGUCGGUAACGAGUCUUCGCUGAUUUGUCUAUUUCUGAUGACGUUUCUCUCUCCGUUCUCGGCUCGGGAGGUUGGAUGCUAUGAGGUCGAGUCUUCAGAUCUAUCCCAUUGCUCAUCUUUGUUGUGAAGUUUUUUAGACAUUUUGGCGUUUUUGGGAGUUUUCCUUAGAGGUGGUGGCUUUACUUUACUGACGAGUUCAAACUCUGGUAUCGGUGGCAGAGCCAGGUGGAUCUAUAUCACUUAAUUAAUGUUAGGUUCUCGGGUCUUCCUCUUCGACUCCUCCAUCAGUGGUGUACUCGUGGCGUUGUGGGUUUUGAUCUCUUUUCCGGUGUUGGAGAUUGCCUCUGGCUCUUUGAGAUAGUAAUGCAUGCGAGUUUGGAGAUUCUUAAAGUUGUCAACCAAGUUCAUUUUAUUUUGGUGGCAGUAAGUUUAGGCUUUAACCGUCAUUGAAGGCUUGUGGGUCCUUGGGCUCCGUUUUUCUGUGGUUGGAUUUUUUUCUAUGUUCGGUGAUGUGGCGGGGUUGGCCUCUUCCUCUAGUUCGAACAAAAGCGUCACUAAAGUUUUGGUUGUUGUGGUGUCUUCCGUUUAGAGAAUAUUUGUUAUGUGUUGUUGAUAGUCAGAUUCUUUCCCUCUAAUGUACGUAGAUACAUUAUCGUUGGAUUGUAAUAGCUAUUUUUAAGCGAGUUUAGAGCAUGA